CAGCCUGCAUCGGUAGAGGCGAUUCUCUGGCUUUUUUCGCACCUCAAAGAAGCCAAGCUCUCAAAAAAUGUGAAUCAAUGGGAUUAUUUACGCGUGUAUAACUGGAACCCACUCCAAGAGACCGAUUUUGCUGCAGAAAAAGAUACUCUUGCUCCCCACCCCCUCCUUUCUUUUUGACAGUCAGUUAAUAAAGACUCAACAAUAAGCAGCUGCCAGUGAUGUCAUUUGGGACUUUGUCCACGGAGCUUGUAUUUACAAGCUCGGAGCAACUACAGAGCCGCAGCCCAGGGAGCAAGUCUCCGCAAACUCGCCCGUGAUUCGCGGCAGGACCUCGCUGAUGCCGUGGAUAUUCAGGAAAACCGAGGAGUCUCUUAGCCGCGGUCUUUGAAUGCUUGAAACGUAAACAGAGCAUAACCGCGGGAGGAGAUUUUUAGCAGCAGAGAGGGGUUGAGUCGUUGCAGUUCCUCUGUCUGUCUCCAGGACUGUGUGAUUUGUGUUCACUGAGGAGCUAACUACAAGUAAGACUGUUGGGAUUUUUUUUUUUUUAACUCUUGUAACAGUUUUUUCUUGUUUAUACAGCUUGCUUUCCUUUUAAAGUGAGAUGAUGAUGUUUACGCUUUUCUGCAGGCUCUCUCUCUCGGCAGCCACAAGUAUGCAUUUCUCCCAAGUAAUUAUAGUGCGCUAAAGUUGACUGGGGUUAGGUGGAGAGGACAUAUAGACUCAGGGCAGGCACCACGAUGCAGAUGGAUGAAUUGCUAAUCUUCAUUUGCCUCUGCAGUGAGGUGGAGUUUGGUGGGUUUUUUUUUUUUUUUGGUUGUUGGUUGUUGUUUUUGCUUUUUGUGUUGUAAAGUACCAACUGACCAAACAAAAAAACUGUUAGGUUGACCUAUGCAGUUUAACUGAAUGCUAUAAAGACUAAUUUUAAUUAACUGGUUGCUAGAGAGGAAAAUUCCCCUUUUCCUCUGAUUUUUUUUUUUUAAUGUGUGUGUGGCUUAUAGAUUUCUAAUGUGUGCUUGUUGACGUUCAUAGUCUUGUUCUUCUAGGACGAUACGGGAGAGGAACCUGAGAGGGGAAAAGAAAGAAAGAGGGGGGACGAGAGGAGGAGAAAGUUUGAGUAAGUAAGAGUCCACGAUCAUACGUAAUUUUUUACAAAGCUUUAAGUUUGGGGAAGAUAUACCUAAAGGGGGUGUUGGUGGUGGGUGAAACUCAUAGACUACACGGAAGACUCAAUCGUUAACCUCAAUUACAUGGUGACUUUUUCAGUUGAAACUGUGAGUCGAACAACCACCCGUUCUAGAUAUAGGAAAGAAAGUGAAAGGGGUUCCCGAGAUUUUGAGAGAUUCAUAAGAGAUCCUAAAUUUGUCCUUCGUCCGAGGGACGUGGUCGUCAGACCUGUCCCUGAGGCAGAAAAAAACGACGUGACCGAGAGGAGGACACCGCACUUCAAGAAGUAUCCUCAGAACAUUUGAACAGAAAGACACCCAGGAACCUCGACGGACCCUAAAGGAGGAGUCGCGGACGUCAAGUCGGUGAACGUCGAUCAUCGUUUAGUGGUGACUAAGGACGGGAGAUCUGGACUGUCGGGCGACCGUUCUUCACCGACAAUCGGACAAUCGAGGACGUGCGCUUUGGGUACUGAGUAAGGUCCUCCGACUGAACGAGGACUUAGGUCGACGAGACAGUAGUCGAGUCCUCGUGGAACUGUCGGGACUGACGGAAAGGGAAUCUUCGGUCACAUCCUUCCAUGAUUUUAUAAGUUGAGAAAAGAUACCUCAGGAACACCACAGUCGAGGGUUAAAAAGGUAGUCUCGUGUACGACGAACCCACACAAAAUAUAUAAUCUCGAAUGACGAUAGACGUCUAAAAAACAUGUUUUAUUCCCUAAACGACAAUUGUAUCAAACGUUUGAUAAUCACCUUCAAAUAGUAAAAUGUUUUCUUUUUAACCCAGUACUCCACCCCACCACUAAACAGUCUCUGUGGGUCAUUUCUCCCAUGGUCUCGAGGGUGAUCUUUGACACAGAAGGUACGGGUGAGGUCGUACGUAAGACGAGAAGUUCAAGAAUGUCUAAUUUUUCUCUAUCCUAGGUGUAUCCAAAGCAUACGAAGAACGUCCUCGUCUCAACGCACGUCCACAUGUCUACUUCCACCAGACCGUUUCUGACUUACAAGGACAAAACAGAAACCGAGACCAAUGUAAAGAAAUGCAGAGACAAGGAGUAACAACAAAAGUGAUCGUUUACUUUCCCUUGGGACACUAAUAAAAUGUCAACCGGAUCUCCGCUCGUUCCAUUAUCGACUUAAUCAUGUCUUCCAUAAAACCUAACUCACGCCCAACCCAUCGAUUCCACUAAGGGUUGAGACUAUUACAACAAAGACGAAAUGAAGGUUCAGAGUUUGAAAAACAUGUGAUAUCGAACGAACAAAAGGAGGUGAAUACCUGAGGGAAAGGUUACCUUCGAAAAAGAAGUAAAAAAAGGAACUACCGGGGAGGGUGAAAGGUCGUAAGGUGUCCGGGGUGAGUCCGGGACGUAAGGAGAAGAGAGACCUGGGAAGGAACGGGGGUGUGAGGGUGGAACCCCACGGAGACACCUGAGAUGUCUAGGUUCACUAGAACGUGAACAUGAACAAACCGAGGAGUACCAUAGAACACGAUCGAAAACGGUUACCCUGGACCUUGAGAACCCGGCGUAUUUAUAGAGGAAGGUAACUUUCGUUUCCGAUACAACACUUUGAAGGAAACAGGUGUUUCUUCAACAAAUCACGUACUACGAUUUAUAUACUUUCUUACUUAGUUUGUACGUAAAAGGGUGUAGUUUUGGAGUCCGAAGGUGUGAACCCAACUGUUUUAAUAGACAAUUGACACGAAUCACCGAAAUUUAAAAAGAAGUGAGACCACUUCCGGAUACUACCCAGAAUUCUGAGCACAAAAUACUGGGCUAUACUUGAUGGGAUGCCUGCCACUCUACCCUGCUUCAUUUCUUUGUGCUCCCUGCAUAUACUAAUAUCUGUGCUGGAGUUUUGCUUGCAUCAGAAUCUUCUGUCCGGGAGGAACUGUGGCAUAUUGAUUAAGGACUUGACUCUGGAAUGGCAUUGCUGGGGUUUAAUCCCGAUUUCCUCCACUUGCUGGCUCUAUGAUCCCACAGUUAAUCCACUAAAUUUUUUUGUUGUUGUUGUUUCACUUUCUCUUCUUUCAAAUUUGGAUAGUAACAGUUCCUGCUUUGUGGAAGGGUCGGGAGGUUGAAAUAUAUCCACAUAGCUAAGACACGUAACACAAUGCUAGGCAUACAUUUCUAUGACUAAGUAUUAGCUAUCAUUGACACUAUUUACCUUGCUGACGCCUGCCUCCCUUCCCAGACUUAAUGAAUCAACAUCUCCAAGGUGGAAUUCAGAUGCGUUUAUAGUUAAAAGUUCUUCCGAUGAUUCAGAGAGGACUACUGGCUUAUUAGCAGCUGGGACUUGCUUUCUGUAAGCCGAAUAUUCUCUUCAGCACCUCUCCACUUUUAUACUCUUGUAUCACUACUGUGGUCCCUCUCUAUAUACCAAGUUUGUCCUCCCAGCUCGUGCUUACCCUUCCCCUCCUAUGGGCAGUUUUCCAUGCCCUACGUGCCAUGGACAGAUGUCCUUAUGCACCAUGGAAGUAUGUGUUCAUUGGUCCCCUCUUCAGCCUCUGAGUGUCAUGAGGAUUCACCUGCCUGACACCCACCUUGAGAGCUACUAUCUUUAGUGAAUUACUUGCAGAGUAGAUGAAAAAAUACUGCUCACCAAGUUUCUUCAUUCCCAUUUGACUCUAGGUCCUGUGGCUGCCCCCUUUCCUGUGAUGUCACAUCUAAGCCUUUCCCCACUCUCAAGUCAUCUUUACUGCUACUCCUCUCUAGGUAGCAUCUGCCUUCCCCACUUCCAGAGCAGACUGUGGUCUUACACAACACCACCCUCUUUUUAAUCCCCCUUCUCUUGGAUGAAGGAGAGAACACACCCAUCAGAUUCUGACCGAAUUCUGUUGGAUUGCCUAAACUGUAUGACCCCACUUAAAAAUGAUAUCUUUGCAUUCUGCCUCUGUCACAAGAUUGUAGGGGUGUUGAGUUGCCAAAUUGGUAAUCUUAUGCAUAGCCCUGCACCUGGCACAGAGGUUGUGGGCCCAAUAAAUGAGGAGGAAAAGGAAGGACUGUGUUGUUGAUGGGUACUCUAAGAGCAGAUUUGAAUUAUUUUCUACUUAUAUUAAUAUGGAGUGAUUCCUGUAUACCAGGCUUAUUUCUAAGCUCUUUGCACAUGCUCUGUCAUUAUAGUCAUCAUAUUUAUUACCCAAGCAAGGAUAACUGAGGAUCAGAGAGGUUAAGUAAUGUGCACAAGAGGUGGUAAGAGGUACGGCAGUGUUUGCACAUACGGCGUAUACCCUGAACUUCCACCAUGCUACUUUCUGGAGAUGCAGGGCUGACCCUAGCAUGAGCCUCACCCACACUGGAGCUGUGGACACUCACAUGGGCCUCUGGAUUGCUUGUACUGGCAGAGUGGUAAAUCAGAUUAACAGUUCUGAGUGCCAGCCAGUUGAACUGGUGAUUCACAUGUUCUCCUCUUCAGAAGUAUCUAAAGCCCAGGCCCAGCCCUUUUUCCCCCCCUCUUUAAAUCUCAGUUAUGAAUCUCCUUGAAGAUUCACCUAAGUUUAUAGUUGAACAUCAAAAUUAUUUGCAUUCUUGGUAUGGGUGUUGGCAGGCUUGGUCAAGAGUAAAAUUGAGGGAUUAGAUAAAAAGACACAAUUGGAAAUAAUGGUUGGCCAUUUGGUUGGUCCCUAGAAAAGUUUCUCCAAAGAUGUGGUAGUAUUUUGUGAAAGAGGAUUUAAAUGGCCAGAAUGGUUUAGGCUACACACUGGGCAAAGUCACUGGACCGCUUAAGCAUAAGAUCCUUACAGCCUCAUUUCUCUCCAGUUCUUUAAUUCUACAAGGUUUAAUGCCUCUGGAAUUUUGGAUUCCCAAUUGUGCCUCCUUUACAAAUGAAAUAAUAAAUCUCUUGGAUACAUAGAACAUUACCCACAACGUUUACAGUGCCCCAAUAAAUACUUGUCUAAUGAAGUGUAUCAUGUCGUUUUGGAAGCCCCAAUUACACAAGGUACUUCCCAGUAGUUACAUAAAUUAAUCUUGGUAUUUUCAGGGCAAGAAACCAGAUCUCUCCUCUUGGAAAGAGUAGAUUAAUGAUUUCUUUGAGUAGAAUUCGGAUGCACUGUAGGAACCCAGUGAACCGAGGUCAAGAGGAAAGUCCCGAACCCAUUUUGGAGCAUAAGCUUGGAUAAUAACAUGGCAGAUAAAUAUUACGGUGUUGAAAGAAGAUCUGUUAUUUCUGAAAUGUGGGAACAAGUGUUACUGUUGAGAUGCAUGUCUAACAAACUGCCCCACAAAGGGUACAUGCUUCAUUUGGCAAAUUGAAUCUGGAAACACAGAACUGAGCCAGGCCAGCCCAGAAGAUAUGACCCUAAAGCUUCCAUUGUCAAUGAUAAACUGGCUUUUAAAAAACACAAAAAAUCAAAGUAAUACAUGCUUACAAUUUAGAAAACCCAGCAAUACUAAAAUGUUUAUUUAUUUAUAUUCAUAUUUGUGAAUAUUACUGAUAAUGCUGAAGUGCUUAUAUACAUAAACAUUGCAAAUUUUUAUGUUUCAUAGCUCUUGAGCCACCCCUCCUUAUCCCAAAUUUCAUUUCUGUUUUUCAAAGAUUGUCUGCUCUUUUAGCUACUUUUUAAUGUAAUAUUUCCAAAUAAGAUGUUUCUUUAUCUGUGUAAAAUAUCAAAUUAUUUAUUAUGUGUUUCCCAUUAUGGUAGAUUAAAUGUUUCCUACAUCUUCCUUAUUCUUCAAUAUAUCACAUUUUUGAUUAAAUGGAUAUUUAUUGCCUAUUUUUUGUCAUGAUUAUAAAUACAGACAUGCCUUGGUAUCUACUGGGGAUUGAUUUUAGGGCUCAUUAUGGUAUUAAAAUUCAUGGGUGCUUAAGUUUCUUAUAUAAAAUGGCAUAGUAUUCACAUUUAACCUCCCAUAUGUUUUAAAUAAUUUCUAGAUUACUUGUAAUACCUGUUAAAAUAUAAUUACUAUAUGAAUAGCCCUUAUGCUGUGUUUUUCACAGAAUAAUGACAAGAAAAAUAUCUAAGUAUGUUUGAUAUGCACCUGAAUAUUUUUUCCUCCCAUAUUAUCCAUCUGCUGUUGGCUGAAUCUACUCAUAUGGAACAGACACAGGGAGAAGGCCAACUGUGUUGUUUACUGUUGAGUCAAAUAACUUACUAUGAUCACAUUUCCUUUCUAUUAAAAUAUUUCCCUAAAGUUAUUAAUUGUCUUUCUUCAAAAAUUCACUUAGUUUUUAAAGAUUUUAAUGAACUUUUCUCACUGGCUUCAAUAGUCCUUUGACAUAUGUGUCAAAAGUAAUCUCCCCUUAAGAUAUUUUUCUUAUGUUAAUAGUUAAAUUCUCAAGUUAUCCUAUACUGUUUUUUUUUUAUGUCAGUUGUCAAGGGGGAGAAGUUAAUUAUUAAUUAUGCUAUAUCAAAAGUAAUUUAAAAUGCCUAUCUCCAAUGUGUCCUUUAUUUUAAUUAUAGUCAGUUACUCAUAUUUGGGUAAAUAGAAAAGAUCUGGUUUAUUAUAUUUGGUAAAUAAUAUUCAUAAUUUAGUUUAUGGUCCCAUGAAUACCCAAUAUUCUUUAAGAAUUUCUUUCUUCCUGUAUAUCUUUAACAUCUAGAAUAGCUUCCUCUGAGGAAAGCAAAUGAUAUUUCAUGUAAUUUUAUUCUGUGAGUAGUUUUAAAAAAAUGGCCUCCUCACAUGACAUUUAUUUCUUCCCUUUUCUCAUUCUCCUCUCACUGGUGUUUCAGCCCUGACUUGUACAAUUAGGAAUGUGAGAUACAUUGUCAUUGGAAGUAGUUAAAACAUUUACAUAAAAGAAUGGGAAAGACUUCACCUUUAGGGACAGUGUUUUUCAGAUUGCCAGUAGAGGGCCUUGUUAAACUGAGUAAAAGUUCACGUAUCAACCAAUAGCCAACAGCCACAGACACCUUAUUAAAGAAGGCAUUGUUUUAGAAUUUCUGAUUAAUAGCAGUAAAACUACCAAAAUAAUUUUUAAAGUACAAUGCAUUUCUUUCUAUAUGGAGGAAUUAGACAUCUUAGCUUUCAUUUUUAUUGUUUUCUUAGUAGGAAAUUGGAAAAUUCAGAAAGAUCAUUAAUAACCCAUCAAUCAAAUCAAGACUUUGGAUGCCUAGUCAUAAAAUCUAUACACAACAUUUUUUUUUUUGAAGUUAGAAUGCUGUUCUCUGAGCUUACUAGCUGGAACCUCAGGUUGGCUGUGGAAUAUGGAGAAGAGACAAUGGCUUUUCUAUCCCGGGUACAGUUUAGACUUGCUUCCUACAUUUGAGUGAACCCACUAUAAAAUAAAAGCAUUUCCUCUUCCCUGCAGCUGAUGUAAAAUAUGAUUUAAAAUCAUGACAUUCUGUAGUAUGCCCUCCAUUCAGAUGCAGGGAAAGAAUCUGCACUGAGGGCGCUGGGAUCAUUUCCAGUUCUCUGUCCUGCUCGUUUUCCAGUGGAAGAAACCAGGGGAGAGGAGAGCUGAUAUUUCUAAAGUCAUCCAGCAGGUUAGUGCAGUGCAAUCUUCUUCCUGCUCACUGACCUUUCGGCUCCUCUUCUACAAGACUCUCCUUUUUAAGGAGGCUCUCUUCUCCCCACUCCAUCCUCCUGGGGGCAACUUCUUCUCAGCCUAACUGGCUCCCUCAGGUAGGCUUUUUCUGCUUAUUAUGUGCCCUGUGAACCUCAUGUCCUUGUUUUCCACUGCACUUAUCUCUACAGUGGGAUGAAUAAUAAUGUCUAUCUCAGAGGGCUAUUAGAAGGGUUAGAUGAAACAAUAUACAUUGAAAACACUUACGUGUUUUCAAACAUAUGGUCAACUUUGAUUAAGAACAUUUCCUCAACAAGGCUAGCUAUUCCAUGAAGGCAGAACCUGCAUCUGUCUUGUUUAACAUGGUAGACUUGGCACUUAGAACAGUGGCUGGCACACCGUAGGUACCCAAAAACUAUUUGACAAAAGGAUGAAUGUAAGCAAGCGUUCUGAUUCUUUGCUUACUGGUUUUUUUCUUCUCCAUUUCUACACUUAAGGAAGACAUUCAUUUUUAUAAGUCAGCUGAUGGUGUUCAAAUCUCAUGGCCUUCAGGAUGCCUAUGGACUCAGGGAAAUUUUUUAACUUUCUAUGAGCGAGUGAGUAUUUUUUUUAUUUCCGGUAGUUCAAGGAUCCAAUAUUUGUGGUAUUUAUCAAGUGGUAGCUCCGCAGGUUUAAAAAUAACAAGAGAAUGGAGAAGGAUUUCUUCUCUUGUUGACAAGGACAGGAGGAAUGGGAGCAGAAAAGUGUCCCCAGAUGAGCCACAUAUCCUUUCAUAUUUCCCAGGUUGGGCUGGUGAUUUUUCUGGAGACCAUCAUGAAAUUGUAUUCCUUAAAGGUGGUAUUAGAAAGACCGGGGUCUUUGGAAUCAGUUAACACAGAUAAAGUAAUGGAAAACAUAUCACUAUAGCUCCUACCCAAGAGGCAUUUGCCCUUGGGUAUCCCUGAGUUCCAGUCUCUGUCCUGACCUCUACUGACUUUGGGUGAGUUCUUUAACCUAAUUUUUCUUGAUCUUCUCAUCUGUAAAACAGAGGAGUAUCAACAGUGACUUCACCUAAGUCUUCAUAAAAUGUCUACCUCAUUGUACUUUCUAUGUAUAUUGUCUCACCUAACCCUUCUAACAGCCCUCUGAGAUAGACAUUAUUAUUCAUCCACUGUAUGGAUGAGAAAGCCAAGGUACCCAGAGAUUAAUUUGUUCCAGAUUACACAGUAAGAGUUUGAGACAGAUGUUUAGAUUGUAUUACCUUCUUAAAGGAUCAUUGUGAGAAUUAAAUGAGAUAAAGCCCAUGGCAUAACUGCAUAAAAAUAAGCUAAACACAUGGUGACCCUUAAGAUCAUCAUUGGCUCCUUAUCAUUGAGGACAUUAUGGCCCAUGUAAGCAGAUGAAUGCUGUAGGCAACUGAAGGAGAUGGCAGUGCUCUGUGUCUCAGGGACACAUUGCUUAAUCCUGAUGUCAAAUGUCAAGAGCUCUUUUUACUUGGUAUUUUGAUACAAACAUGUAUUUGCAACCCAAAACAACCAGUAAGGAAACUGUCCACCCUAAUCCCCUCCUGGCUGUCCUGAUCAUGUGAGAAUAGUUUUCUUGGCUCAAUGCUGCAUCUGCUGAUUGACACUCCUGGCUUUAUCAUCUCUGCUUCUUUAUUUGGUAAAACUGUCAAAUCCCUCAGAUUCCGGUUUGUAUACAGCUCCUUCUUUGAAGAACAGUGGGACCGGGUUAUGGGGUAGACAGGGUGUGAUGAGUGUUCAGCUCUUUCUGAUAUGUCCUCAUUUUGUUCCCUUGUUAUGUAUCCCUGACCCAUUUUCCCCAGCUGUCUCCUUCCUCUUUUCCAUCUUUCUUUCUCUUUUUAUUUUCUCUCUUCAUGCAUUCUCUUGUUUUUCUCUUUCCUAUUGCUCGGUUUUUCGUCUCUUUAAUCUUGUCCUCUGCCCAACUUGAAUCUCAUCUCUCCCUCAAUUAUCCCUUUUGCUCUUCUACACCCUCUUCCUAUUCAUUUUUUUCUCUCCUCCUUCUUCACCCCAGCAGAGCAGAGGAUGGUCAGUGUUUCUCAGUGGAGCAGGAGUCAGAGAAAAAGGGCCAACAUUCCAGUCUUUUCAGUGUUUCUAUAAUCAUCAAAUGCCCUAGGGCCUCAUUACAAUGCUGAUCCUGUUAAACAAAGAACACAUCCAAAUUCUAGGCCAAAGGGAAAGAGAGCCCCAAAGGAGCAGGCUGCAUGGUAGAGGAGGGUGUGAUCUAGAGAGAGAGAAUGGAGUGACCCCGCUUGUAAAAUCCUGCCCCAAGCCAGCUGUAGGACGUGGGAUCAAGUGGCCCCAUCUGCAAAGUGAGGGGGAGAUCAGAUGGUCCCAAGGCCAUUCCUGGCACAGUGAUCCUGUUAUUCCUAAUCACACAAUGAUUGCAGCCUGACUCACAACACAGGCAAUUAUCAAAGCAGCAAGAAGCAAAGCCAGGACAGUGGGCUCAGCACUGGUCUGUGUGCAUGGGCGUCCUGGGGACGCUGGCAGUAUCUUUGAUCCCUAGCAGUAUCCCGUUUUUCCAAAGUGCUGAAGUGAUUCGUCACUGCACAAUGCCGUGUGUCCUCACAACAGAUGUGAGAGGAUCACCCUUGAAAGGGUGUUUCUCCAAAGCAUCUAAUUAUAACCUCUACUGAAGAUUAACAGAUGUUAUAAUUGUCUUUACCCUUUGAUUAAAUAGUUUCUGCAUGAGUAGGUUUCUUAGAUUUUCCUUCUCUGUUUUGCAUGAUCUUUAUAAAGAACUGACAUGUGUCUUCAAUUUUAUGGAGAUAGCUCCUCAACAGGCUGGGUAAGAAUCUUUGCAGAUUCAUAAUUUCAUCCGAUCUCUUUCUUUCCCUUCUAUAUCUUUAUAUAUAUAUAGAGAAAACCUGGGGUGCAUAGACUGGACAUGGGUUUUGAUGGCAGAUGAGUGGCAGGAGUAUGAGUGUAGCUAGACGCUGGCCUCUCUUUCUGCAGUUUGUCUGCAGAAGUGCCUGAUAUACAUGAAUGUUCUCUAGGAAAAACUGUGCCAAGUGGAAAGGGAGAUUCAGCAGACCUUGCACAGCAGUCAAGCACAGCAGGUGACAAGUGAGCAAAUGAGUGUGUGAGCAGAGAGACAAACAGCAUCCGUGAUGUAAAUGUCUAAAGAUUGUUCUGCCAGUAUUUGUUCUGGAAAGAUAAGCGAUCAGCCAAAGGCUGAUAUCAACAUCUAAAACAUUAUUUUCGUUCCAUUAUUUAGAACUCAGAUCUCUUUCUUCUCCAUUAGCGAUGUGGUUUGUGUUGUAUGGCUCACUUAUUUCACCUUCUAUGAACCCAUCAGGAAGGAUGGUGCCAUUAACUUACAGGAAGAUAAAGCCUUCUGCCUCAUUGUGUCAUUGUCCAAAUGAGUAUGUUUCCUCCUUGAAAAGAGAAAAUUAUAAGGAAGGCUUUCAGGCAUUAGGCCAGCUUUUGGAAGAUGAAGACCAGAUCAUUUAGGGAGAUCUCCUUAAAAAAAGGGUCUCCAUCUCUCCAUACCAAAGCAAUCUGAAAAGGACUUGCAAAUCAAGGCAAAGAUCAGCCAUUGGUCAGCCUGAGGACAUAGAAGAAAUAUGCAAAAUCAAAUUUGUCUUCAGUGGAUACAUUAGAAUUAAACCUUUGGAAAAAUAAAAUGAAGGAAAUACCUGGUUUGGUUGAUCUAAUAGGCCCCAUACAAAUUCCAUCUCCUCUUUCAUCUGCAAUUGAUAAGGAAGAGGAAGGAAGGUACAUUUAUUCUUAGUAAUAAUCUACACUGAAUAUAUGUGCUACUAGUGAAUCAAAAGGCAAAAUUUCUAUCUAUGGGGUUCACAAUAUAUAGGGGGAAGGAGUUAGUCCCUCAUGAGACAUUUAAAGAAUAUUAGAAACUAAAUAGGAUUAGGUUCCAAAUGAAUGAUCAGAACAUUGAUAAAUUAAGAUGAUUUUAUAAGGGCUAGGAUCUUAUACAUUUCUAGAACCGAUAUCAUGAAAAAUAGCUAAAGAAAUUAGAUUUGGGUCAUUUGGAGGAAGAAGAUUUUAAAACUGUUUUGAAGUGUAAUAUAUAUACAGAUCAGUGAAUCUAAAUAUAUAGCUUGAUACAUUUUUACAAACUGUAUUUAUAUUACCAAUGCACAAACCAAGACAUAUCACCAGCACCCUAGGAACCCUCCUGCAAUUCCCUAUAGUGACCACCAUGCCCAUUUCUGAUGGAAAAGAUUAAUUUUGCCUGUUUGUAGGCAUUAUGGAAAUAGAACUACAUAGUAUGUAUGAUUUUGGGUUUGACCUCUUUUAUUCAAAUUAUGUCAGUGUGAUUCAUUAAUAUUACUAUGCUUAAUUGUAUAUUUUCCAUUGUUAUUGUUGUAUAAUUUUCCAUUGUGUGACUCUACCUCAGUAUCGUCUUUCUGCUAUUCAGGAGUAUUUUGCUAGUUUCUAGUUUGGGAUUCUUACAAAUAGUGCUGUGAUAAAUAUUCUAGAACAUGCCUCUUGUGUCACUUCAUAAACAAAUAAAACAUAUCCGCUGAGUGUGUGUGCAAUUGCCACAUUGUAGAGUAUCUAAGAGAUACUGCCAGUCUUUCAAGGUGAUCGUUCAAGUUUAUAGUUCUAUUCACCAUAUGCGAGAGUAACGGUGGUGUUUUAAUUGACUGACAAGAACAGGACUACUUCUUAAAGGUGGAUGUUAAAGAGAAGUAGCUGUGGCCUAAUAUUAGGCAUUGUUCCUUUAGAAAUUCACAGAAAGAAAAUGGGAUUUUAUGAAUUAGGUCCUUGUCCCUGGAAGUUCUCAGACAGUGAAAGAUGGCCUUCACCAAGAAGGGAGGUGAGGUAGGCAUAGGAUUCCAAGGCCUUUUCCACCACAGGCCUUGUAUAUCUAACAUAGUAAUCUCCAUGGAAACAAGAAUAUGGAAGAGGUCAUCCCAGUGGACCAGAAGACCAGAUUGUAGGAGUAAACAGGAGCGAUUGCAGGGAUAAUACUGACUCUGCGAGUGGGGCAGAGGCCAUUCCAGGAAGGGAGACAGACAGAUGCACAGGUCUGAAUAGGACAUGACAGAAUCGAGUGAUGAUAUAUUAGUAGAUGGAAGAGUGAAGAGCGGUUUGCAAACCACAGCAGAAUCCCUGCAGAAUAAGAAUGGAACACACAUUUAUACAGUUCACCAUACUGAAUGCUUAGGACCAGUCUGAGAACCACCAAGCAAAACAGAGGCAUUUGAUCAGCUCUGCCAGAGAUCGAGUGAUGUCCAUAAGAUGCCCUAGGUGAAAGUUGCUGCACCAAAUAAUGCUCAUCGGGGCAACAAGACAAAGCAACAUUUCUGCAAGGCUCCUUGCAGUUCGUUGGAGUUUUCUAAUACCUAAUGUGCAUGAAUCUCGUGUCCUUGGCAGCAUGGGAUACAUGUCCUGGGCUCUGACUUAGACUGUUUUCAUGCCAGCAUCACACCAUGUACAAACUUGAUCAUAUAGUAAAAGGACUCACAAAACUAAAGAUGGAUGGUUGGACUGAUAAGAAAAGGUUCUUGCUUUGAACAAAUAAUGUUCCUUCCUCUGCUUUCAUCUUUUUCUUAUCUCCUUUUUACCCCCACCCCCCCUCCACUUUGCAAUCUUUUGAAGCCUUGAACAAAGAAUUGCUCAUUUUCCUUGACCUAAGGAUCCAAACUGCAUAAAUAGAUAAGCUUGUGAAAUUAAUGAGAGGGAUCUUCAUGUUUCUUAGAGUAUUUUCAUCUGUUCAAAUGGCUUAAAACUGAUAUAUAUAUAUAUAUAUAUAUAUAUAUAUAUAUAAAACCCAGUGGCACUGUUAACAAGCACCUUCUAGGCACAUGGUGAUGGGGCCCCUCAAUCAACACACCCUAUCCUUUUCCCUUCCAAAGCUGCACUGAAGGGCUAUAUUCAGGACAGCAGUCAUGCCCUGUGUCAAAGCACGCAUCCGUGCUAUCUUGAAACUCUAUAACAUAGCCUGAAUCUGGUAAAUGGAGCACAGCUGAGCAGGUGACAGAUUUAUCAUACAGAGUUGAAGACUAUUCUAGGACAGAGCACAAAGGCAGUCAUUGUGGGAAAUAUGGUAAAUGGUUACUCCUGUAAAUACUUCUUUUAAACACUUUAUACUGUUCUGAAAAUACAUAAUCUCUUGAACAGUGAUGAAUCCACUGCCUCUGUCUCUUUCUCUUUGUCCUUUCAGCAUGUCUGUUUCUACUCAGACACUCUUCUAUAGGGACACUUUUCCACCUUUGGAUUUCUCCUGAGUGUAUUUGAUUCUGAAUAUCUGAGCUCAGCCAGGGAGACAUGGCUGAGGUGUGCUUCUGGGUGUGAGUGUAUAUGUGAGUGCGCACACACAGGGAUUGACGAGUGUGUGUGUGUGUGAGCACAUGUAAUUGUGUUUCAGGGUUUUGUCUCUGCCAUUUCAGUUAGACAAAACCAUAGCGUUAUUUCAUUCAUCCUCAGAUUUCCAACUUAAAUUGACUGAAGUUGUAAAGCACUAUAUCAAGCCAAAAUAAUUCCAGGACAUUAUAACAAGUAAUAUCAAUCUUUCCUACUAUAAUCAACAAUAUUUUCUUGAUGGAAAUUUUUUUUGUGCCAUUCUCUUCAAUUUCUUUGGGGAUAAUGCUUAAGCCAUUACAAGUUUUUUCAACAAUAAGUGUUUGAACCAUGAAUCCUACCUCUCCUGUUCCCUUUUCUAGGUUUUUCUUGUAAAGGUACAAAAUUCCCUUGUAUGUGACUUCAAAAUGUUUCUGGUACUGGGGAUUGAACUCAGGGGCACUCCACUGAUCCACAUCCCCAGCCUAUUUUGUAUUUUAUUUAGAGAAAGGGUCUCAUUGAGUUGCUUAGUGCCUCACUUUUGCUGAGGCUGGCUUUGAACUCCUGAUCCUCCUACCUCAGCCUCCCGAGCCACUUUGAAUCAAUAGAUAUGUAGUUAGUGAGAGCUCAUGAAAGUAUUAUAACAAGAGAUUCUUAGAGCUGGCCAUCUAGUAUGGAUGCUUGGUAUGGCAUGGUGGCCACUGAAGCAGAUUCUACCUGGAAGCUGCCCUGGUGAGAUAUUGGAGCCCAUUACGGGAAGCAGGGAUGCAAACCAUUCAGCCCUCAACCAUGAUUCUGAUGGAUGGAAACAAAAAUACUUAGCUUGAUUGCCACCAGAUCCUUUACUCUCUGCCUUGGUCUCUAUCUUAUUAAAUCUGUGCUGACCAUGGGCAGAAUGAAGUAGAGGACUGAGCAUGUUUUAACUUGCACUGGGUGCACCUCAGAAAUUUAGCAACCCAACUCGGAUAUUUCUGCAUCUCUUGGCCCACUAACUUCAAACGAUACUAGACAGGAGUCUUUGCCAUCAAUAACUUAAACAAAAGUUUAAUAAUCUAAAACAGAUAAUGAAGGAAAAUAGAUAAAGAAAAAGCUGGUUUUAGAAGUGAUUCUAAAAUCAAAUUCUCCCCUGCAGCUGCCUCUGAUACUUGGUUCUAUGCCUCUCUUUCCUUUUGGGUGUCAUCCCCAGGGUCAGAUAAGGACUUUUCUAAGCCCUCUUUUCAAAGAGAACCAAAUAAGUUCUGCCUUCCUGCAUAACCUUAGUCAGACUUUCCAACCUAUCCAGAAUUAUACUUAAGGUCAAGUUGUGAUCCACAGGGCACUGAAGUUUGUUGUGUGAAUUCUGGAAUGACCUUGAUCAGAUGUGACUUAUCAGUGAGUUAUUUGAUAGGCAGGGGAUACUUUAGGUGUGAUUUUGAUUCUGAAGGCUGAUCAUUACAUUUCUGGGAAGUUGUGGGCAUUCUUCUCUGCCUUUCUGAACUGAAAAUAUAAGCAAUCAUUGGGAUGGAACAGGAAGGAGACAGUGAUUUAGAUUAAUAGAAAUUUGAGUGUAUUCAAAAUGAGAGGCCACCUUUAGCUAUUUAUCCUGGAAAACGGUUCAUUCACUUAUGUGAAGAGGCAUGCACAAGAAUGCGCAUGCAGCAUCAUUUGUAAUAAUGAAAAGUUAUUUACUGUCCGAGUGUCCAUCAAUAGGGGAAGAGUCAAACAAAUAAUGCUCCAUCCACACUCAGGAGCCUUCAUGGUCAUUAAAAGGAUGAAGAAAAGCUAUUUGUAUCUUGACAUGGAAAGACUUCUCUGAUUUAUUAAGUGGGGAAAAAAAGGUGGUCAAAUAUAUACAUAGAAAUGGGUGCCACUUCUGUUUCAAAAACAUACGUAAAUAUAAACAUGUAUCUAUAUCUAGAAAGAUAAAUUGUUAAUGGUGGAUUUUUUUCUGAUUCAGAGAGUAUUAUUGGGAUUACAUGAAGAGGGAAGUUUGGCUGUUUUUCAUAUAAUUUUAACUAUUUAUUUUAAAAAAAUAUGCAUAGAUACUUCUAAAGAAGAUUUACAUUUUUGUGUGUGUAUACAUGUACAUUUUACUCAUAUAUAUUUUAAUAAGAGGGUAUAUUCUGAAGCAAUAUUUCAUGGAGAAAAGAGUUUAUACUUUCCAAAUAAGUCAUCUGAGGUAACCAAAGGUAAUAUAAAAGAUAAACAGAACCUCUGUUUUUCUCUGGGUGCACUGAAGUUUUCAGGCAUGAUGAUAUUUAAUUUAAGAUACAAAUAAAAGCAAUAAAUUUAAAAACAGGCAACUGUUUCUAAGGUGUGAAGCAGCAGAAGUUAUUUACAGAGAAUUCAUUGCUCAAAAUUUAACCAUUUCAGACAUGGUGAGCUCAUUUCAGAUAUCGAAUAAUGGGAUCACGGUGACCAGGUAAAUGAGCUGUGGUCCUGUCCUGAAGGAUAACUAAUCUAGUGGAAGGACAGACAAAUAAACACAGCUCAUUUAUUUAUAAGCAUAAGGCUGAAUGAAGUACUCAACAAUGGAACAAUUUGUGAGCAUGCAGAGUAAUAUUUCCUUAAAUAAUAUUGGCAGUGAUUUUUCUCAAGGCUCCAUGAGGAUAUAAAGAGUUUGAAGGAUCAUAAUGUGAUCAGCAUAUAUUGUAUAAAUUUUCAAAAACUUUUAUUGUGGCCACCUUUGAAUUGAUUUGUAGGUUAUUUUCUCUGUUUAUAUUACUCUCAUUUUUUGUUCUCAUUUUUAGAAUUUCCAGUUUUAGUUAAAUCCUCUUUUCGCUUUCCAUUUUAAAGAUAAUGUGAUUUUAAACUUACUAUAUUUUCUUUUUCAUUAGAAGUUGCAGCAAAGUAAAAAUGACUGCAAGAAAAAAAUUUAUGAACUUUCAAUUUGACUGAGUUUUUUUCAUGUUUUUUUUGGUUUCUACCUUUCUGCUUGGAUUAAAAUGGAUAAUAUCAUUAUUUGCUUAUUCUUUUUUUAAUACCUGUAUUACUUAAAAAUUUGUAACAUGCAUAUUUAUGCAUUCUAUGUUUACAUGUACAUACAAAUAAAAUACAAAAUAUAUAUAGCAGAUUAAAAUUUACUCAAUAUCUUUAUAUGCUUAAAAAAUAAAACUAAGACCUUAUUAUACUUAAUUUACCCUUUGAAUCCCAUUCUGAUCUUUGUUUUUUUGUGAGUUGCGAUUUUCAGUGGCCAAUGGGUAGAUUCACUCACAUCAUUUCUCCAUGCCUUUGCUCACCAAAGUCUCCAGGAUCGUACUUCUUCCCUCUCAUUUCUUGCUAGCAUAUAUCCUUCAGUAGUUUUUUAGUCAGUAUCUGGGGAAAACAAAGCUUUUGUUUUUAGUAAGACUAAAGAGUUCUUGGAUUAUAUUUUAGCUCAAUUUAGAAUUCUAAGUCACAGUUAAUUGCUCUCAACACUUUGAAGACAUUACUGCCUUAUGUUCUGGCAUUUACUUCUGCUGACUGAAAUGUGCUGGCAGUCUAACCGUCUAAUAGGUUUUCAUUUGCAUGUCAUUUCGGAAGCAUCUCUCAUGACUUUUAGGAUUUUCUCUGUAGCUUGAGGUUUUUAUAGUUUCAAAACUACAUGUAUUGAUAUGUAUAGUAUUUAUUUCUUUAUGUUGUAGUUUUAGUCAUACAGGUUCUUCAAUUCUGAAAAUUUCUUAGCCAUUUUCUUCUGAAGAUAUUUCUUCUAUGUUAUUCUAUUCUCUCUCUCUCUCUCUCUCUCUCUCUCUCUCUCUCUCUCUCUCUGAGUCUCCUAGAUGCAUUUUGGAAACUUCCAAUCAAUCCUCCUUUUAUCCAAUAUUUUUCUCUGUACCUUGCACUAGAUGAAUUCAUCGGUAUAACUUUGUAGUUCAUUAAUUCUCUCUUUGAUUGUCUUGUCUGGCUUUAAUCUUGUUUUUUGGCAUUUUAUUUCAGACUGAUUUUUCUGGAUUUAUAAUGGAUAUUCUUGUUCUUUUGUUGUUGUUGUUCUUUUUACCAUAGAGCUACAUCCCCAACUACAACCCCACGUCUUUUAUUUUGAAACAGGGUCUUGAUAGGUUGCCAAGGCUGCCCUCAAACUUGGGAUCCUGCUGCCUCAGCCUCCUGUGCUGCUAGGAUUACAGGGUUGUGCCACUGUGCCCCCUUUAUUUGCCUAUUUUUAUUUCACAAUUUCUCAUCAGUUUUGUAAGUGAUAUACUACUUUUUUGUUAUUUAUUUAUUGACAUUGAUUCUUUUUAAUUAUAAAUGACAGUAGAAUCUGUUUUGAUGUAAUUGUACAAGCACAGAAUUAUUCCAUGCUUAUGUUAUGUUUAUUCCACUUUUAUGUUUUGAUAUUUAUUCCCUCCUAAUAUUAACUUUUCUCAUUAUUUUUAUUUCACUGAUGAUGAUUUUUGGUUGUCUUCUUAGUAUUAGUUUUCAUAUGCUUUAAAAUUUCAAGUCAUCUUGAAUGGAAUUUGCCCCCAUCUCUAUGCACACUCCUCCUCAUCCAUGGGUUAUAUACAUGCUUUCAGGAAACUUGCCAGAUGCCCCAUCCAGAACCAGGUUUUGUGAGUGGCUUGGUGUAUCUCUCCUGUAAUAUAAAGUUGGGUAAGUCUCAGAUGGUGCAGAACUACCAAAUGCUUUGAUUCAAGUUCUUUAGACUACCUGUCCUUCUACCAUGCAGUUCAAUAUCUUGGAGUCUUAAGCCCCAGGAAGCAAUUAUUUCCAAGAUUGAGGGGCCCCUUUUCCAGACUGUGCAUUCAUGGAGUAGCUGGCUGGCCUCCAACACUCAUGCAAAGCUCUUGAUGCUAGAUACAUAUGAGGUGUCAAACUCUUCUGUUUUAACAUCUUUCUGGACACAGUGCUCAGCAGGCCCAGGAGAUCUGUUGUCCUCUUUCUUCUUUGAGCUUAGUGUCUGUUUCACAGAGAUGUUUUUCUUCUUUAUACAUUACAAAAAAUGUAUUUGAUACAAUUAUAUAUUUUACUGUUACUACUAGUGGAAAGUUCUUACUUUAAAUUUGGUGUAUCCACGGUUGAGCUUCAGAGUAGCCUUGAAUCCUUCAAAUUAUGUCCAAGAAUGCACAAAUUGUUAAAUGUUUGUACUUUUCCAAUGUGUUGGGUAUUAGACUUCCUCUUUUCCUCAAAGUUUGUAAUAGCCACUGACCUAACGUGACUCCUUCAGUUUGAAUACAUGUUCUAUUUCCCAGGAAAAGACAGUAAUCAGAAUUUAUUUUAUUUCUAUUCCAAGACAAAUGAUUACAUUUUAUACCUUCAACAACAUUGGCAUAAUUUUAAAAGGAAGUAGCAGAGUGGCAGCUUAGGAAAGGCUUGAAUACGGUCCCUGAAAAGUCAAAUUAAAAUUCAGUUCACAGUAUAAACUUUUAUUUCAGUCAAAGGAAAGGAAAUUCCUUUAAUGGAAUAAAAUGCAAAUAUUUAAUCAAGGCAACAAACAUGAAAUGAUGAGGGUGUUUAUUCAUGUUUUGGUUUCUUAACUACUGGGUUUUAUGAAGUUAGGGACUUAAGUUCAGUUUUCUUGUUGAUAAGUUGAAUGCAUUUUCAUCAAAUGUGGGCUGGUAAGAUAAUAUUAGUGUUGUGCAUUCAGUAAGUGCUCAAGGAGGCAUGGUAAAAGAUGAUGGUAGUGUACUAUAAUUUAGUCUAAGUUAUUUAAUUGAGUAGGCUAAGUGUCUAUCUUAACUUUAAUUCAAAAUACUACAUAUGAUCUUUAUACUUUUUCAUGACUUAAUAAAAAUCACAUUUAAAAAUAAAAGUGAAAAAUAUGUUACUUAGGAAUAAAAUUAAAAUUACUAUAUCAUUUAAAGCAAAUUGCAAAAAAGACUGACUGAGGCAAGUAUGGAUUGGUCUUUCAUCUUGAAGCUUAAAAAAGUUAUGAUACAAAUAAUCCUAAACUGUAAUUAGGAAAACAAUCUAAUGUAUAAUACAACAAAAUGAAAACAUCUAAGAAUGAAUAUAACAAGUGAAAUGCAAGAUUUGUAUACCCAAAACUAUAAAACAUUGUUAAAAGAAGACCUAACAAAAUGGAAAGACAGUCUGUUUACAUGAAUAGAAGAAUUAGCAUUGUUAAGAUGGCAGUACUCCCCAAACUGAUCUACAGACUCAAUGGAAUCCCUAUCAUAAUCUCACUUGGCUUUUUUGCAAAAAGUUCCAAGAAGUUAAAAUUAAUAUAGAAAUGCAAGUUAGCUACAAAAACUCCUUAAAAAUAAAGAAUUAACUCGGAGGAUUCAUACUCCAAAUUUCAAAACCUACCAAAAAUCUGUAUUAAUCAAGAUAGUGUGGUACUGACACAUAGAUCAAAGGAAUAAAAUUAAAAGUGCAAAAAUAAACCUAACACUAUGGUUGGUUGAUCUUUUUUACACGGACGGCAAGACAAUUUUGUGGGGAAAGAAUACUCCUUUCAAUAAAUAGCGCUAGGAUACUGUGGAUACCCACGUGAAAAGGGAUGAAUUUGGACUCCUCCCUCAUGCCAUAUAAUUUUGGCUCUUACAUUUAUAUGGCAUGAGGGAGGAGUCCAAAUUGGAAUCACAGUCUUAAAUGUAAGAGCCAAAAUUAUAAAAAUUCCAUAAUAGGAGUAAAUCUUUACUGCCUUGGAGCAGGAAAAAGUUUCUAAGAUAUAACAUCAAAACAUCAGCUACAAAAGAAAAAAACAUCGAUAACUUGCACUUCAGUAGGAUUUAAAAACAUUUGUACAUCAAAGGACACUAUCAAGAGAGUGAAAAGACAAUCCAUGGAAUGAGAGAAAAUAUUUUCAAAUAUUACAUCUGACCAGGAGCUUAUAUCUAGGAAGUAAAAAGAACACUUCUACUCCAACAAUGAAAAGAUACUCACUGAAUUAAAAAAAAUGGACAAAUGUCUGAAUAAAUGUUUCUCUCAAGAAAGAUACACACAUAGCCAAUAAGGACAUGCAAAGAGGCACAACAUUAUUAAUAAUUAGGGAAAUGGAAGUCAAAGCUACAAUGAGACAUCACUUUGUGUCCACUGGAGCAGUUAUAAUGAAAAGUUAUAGACAAUAAUAAAUGCUGACAAAGGUAUGCCAAAAUUGGACCUCUCGUAUGUGACUGUCAAAGAUGUAAAAUGAGGUACAUUCUCUAUGGAAAACAGUUUGGUGGUUCCAUUUGAGCCAAUAUUUUUUUCCUUAAGUAUGUACCCAACCCAAAUGAAAACAUAGGUUCAUACAGAAACUUAUAUAUGAUUGUUCAUAGCAAGAAUGUGGAAACAAUCUAAAUACUACCAAUGAUUGACAAAGUGUUAAACAAAUGUGAUAUAUCUCUACAAUGAGAUAUCAUUCAACCAUGAAAAAAAAUGAAGUUUCAAUAGGCGCUACCACAUAGAUGAUCCUUGAAAACAUUAUACUUAGUGAACAAGAUUAGUCACAAAGAUAGCUUAUCAGGGUACCAUUUAUGGGAAAUAUCCAGAAUAGACAAGUACAUGGAGACAGAAUGCAGAUUACUGAUUACCUAGAGCUGGGUGAGGGGCAGGGAUGGGCAGGGACUGCUAAUAUUUGUGAGUUUCUUUUUCAAGUGUUGAAAAUGUUCUAAAAUUAGAUUUUGGAGGUGGUAGCACAGCUUUCUGAAUUCACUAGAUCAUUGUCUACUUUAAGUGAAUCAAUAUUUUGGUAUUGAAUUAUAUUGCAAUAAAGCUAUAAAUUAAAAGAUGCAAUAAAUUUAAAAGCAUUACAUUUUCUUUAAAUUGUUUUAUAGAUCAACAUAUUUUAGGACCAAAAGGGACCUCUAGGGAUCACUUAUUUCAUUUCUCUUGAUAUGUGAGAUGAAGAAAAUAAGGACCACAGAAAUAAAUUUGUUAGAAGAUAUACAAGUAAUUUUAGAACUAAAAAUACACACUUUAUAUUCCAAUUUCCAAAAUGUAUCAAGAGUUGAUAAAUCCUGCAGAAUCCAUCUACAUAGAAAACUGUGAGAAACAGAGAUAGUAAAAUAAUUUAGGUAAUUUAAUUAAUGUAACCUAUCAAAAUAUCCAUGUGACCAGAAUAUUUUUGUGUGUAUAAGAGACAGAAAUGCUAAAACUAACAAGGAAGAAGAAUAUAGACAACUAAGGGAUUUCAGAAGCAUUUGCUUGCAUACCUUAAAGAACAUCUAUUGAAUUAAACAAAUAUGUAAAAUGUUUUUUCAAGGAAAGAGUUUUUAAUGUUUGGGCUAUAAUGUUAUAUAUGGUAUCAAAAAUUAUUCAGUAACCUAGGCAAUAUUUUAAUUCAAAGAAAGAAAAAAAUAUUUAUGCUUUUGAAGCUAAUUUCUCUAACUUUUGAUAAUUGCUUUACAUUUUUAGUUCACAUAAAAAAGGAGAAAAAAUAUCUUUGAAAAGAAAGUUUGAAUGUUUUCUAUUUGCAUAGACAGGUCGUGGGAAAAUAAAUUAGUACACACACACACAACCUCUCAAUCUCUUUGGUAUUCUUAGAUUUUUUUUAUGUGUUAUUAUUUAAGACUUCAGUGUUCUCAGAGUUUCAUAUUGAUUCAAUCUUCUAAAAUAAUUAUUGAAUUUUAAAGGAGGAAAGAGGUUUUUGAGAACUCAUGUAGCUAAAGAUUGCAAAUAAUAGGAUGUAGAUGGCAUAAUUCUCAGAGGUGAAUUAUAUUUGGCUUGUGAUGUCUUAUUUAAAAAAAAAUCUAAUCUCUAGGCUGGGGAUGUGGCUCAGGUGGUAGAGCAUCUGUCUUGCAUGUGCAAGGCCCUGGCUUCCAUCUGUAAUGUAUCAAAAAAAAAAUCUAAUCUCAAAAAAUUGGGAGAACUUACAUAAACAUUUGUGUGUUGAUGUGUGUGUGUGCAAACUGCACUGCCUGUCAAGUAAAAGUAUGGCAUAUAUAAUUAUGUACAGUACUUAAUAUUUGAUAAUGAUAAUGAACAACUGUUACUGGUUUAUAUGCUUGCUAUACUAUACUUUUUAUUGUUAUUUUAGUGUAUACUCCUACUUAUUAAAAAGUUUACUGUGAAAUAGUAUGCUAUGGUAUAAGAGCCAGCAGCAACCUCAUGUACCUUGUGUUUACCAUAUUUCUUAAUUGCAUUAAGAGACCACGUGGAGUAAUCAGCCUGUACCAUCUUGGUAUGUGUAAGGACUCUCUGUGAUGUUCCUACAAUGAUGACAUGGCCUAAUGACACAGUGCUGUUAAAUGAUGCAUGACUGUAUUUCUUAACUUUCCCCACAAGGCACUUCAUUAAUGGGGGUGUUCCUAGUGAAAGAAUUCAGAACUUAUUAUCAGUUUUCCCAUAUUCUGUUGGUGGAAAGAUUCAUACCCUUUGGUGGUUAUUAGAGAAAAUCAAGUUGAAUUCCUCCCUCAAAAAAAGAUAUUUGCCAAUCUAAAUGUAUCUUGCAUCUAUAGAUAGAAACAUUCUCAGUCUAAAUGAAAAUUGGCUCUUGGGACAAAAUGAACAAACAAACCUAAGAUAUCACAAUAGUUUGUGUUCCUCCAAAGGGCCACAGCAAAUAAACAGAUAUAUCUUUGGCAUUAAAUUGUAUGGGAGAAGGAGAGGAGCACACACACACUAUAUAUAUAUAUAUUUAUGGUAAAUAAAUUUAUUUAUUUAUUUAUUUAUUUACAGUAUUCUAAAGGGGGUGAUUAAAAAAUGGCUUGAGAAACAUUGACAUACAGGGAGGACUCAGAAAGACCAAUGCCUGGCUCGACUGCUGUUUUCCUCUCAGACCUAGCUCCUUAUGGGAAGAACCCCUAAUAAAUGUGUCAGGGAAAUAAUAACCAAGUCAGAGGAGACACUGCUUCCAACACCCAAGAGGCUAAUAAUCCAACUGCAAAAAUAAUCAUGCAUUUAUUUAUCGUAAAAGCCAUGGGGAAACAGGGACUUUUAAUAUUGGUGGCAUGGGUAUAAAUUGCUAUAGUUCAACCAUUUUUUGGAGAGCAGUUUGAUACUACAAGGUGAAUCAAACAUGUGGGUAACCUGUGAUCCUGUGAUUUCUCCAUAUGAAAAUUUUUGCCUCUGUUCACAAGGAUGCAUAAAUAGGAAUGUUCAGAACAGUACUGCUAGUAAUGUAAUGACAAAAAAAAAAAAAAAAGGAAACAAACUAUCCAUUAUCCAUUGUUUGGGAAUUAUGUAAACUGCUACUGCAAUAAAUCCACUUAGCUGGAUUCUUAAAAUAUUUCAGAUGAACUAGAAUUCCUUUUAUCAGCAAAGAUAAGUCUUUUUCCAGGGAUUAAACUCAGGGACACUUAACCACUGAGCCACAUCCCCAGACCUUUUUUGUAUUUUAUUUGGAGACAGAAUCUCACUGAGUUACUUAGUGCCUUGCUAAGUUGCUGAGGCUGGCUUUGAACUCAUGAUCCUCCUGUCUCAGCCUCCAGAGCCUCUGAGAAUUACAGUUGUACAUCAUUAACGGGUCGGAGUCGUGUCUAUUUAGAACUACGGUAAUUACAAUUUACCUUUUUUUUUUUUACUUCAAUUCACCUUUUUUCCGUGUUAUGUAUCUAAUUAUGUUUUUCCUACUACGGUAGACACAUUUGUAUUUUGUGUUUGUAUAUUUCGUAGAAUCUGUAGGGUCGAGAGGAUGUUCGCUAACUUUUCCUCCAGUGGGCUAGAUUUGUGCAUCAUAAUAGUCUCAGGGUGAAGAGAGAGGGAGAAAAUGAAAGCUUCAGGUCCUCCUAAGGCCCAGCCCUAGAAUGCUGAAUCACUUUUGCCAUGUUCUGUUGCAAAGGGGUCAGAAGCACUUCCAGAUUCAAAGAAUUAGAGAAAUGGGCACCACCCUGUAUGGGAAGAGAAGAGGGUGGGCCAUCCUGGGAUGGAGGAAUGUGUGGCCAUUCAACAACCUACUGCGUGUUUGACAUAACAGUGCAGGAAGACUCCAGAAUACAAUGUAAGUUCUCUCCUAAAUAAUCUGUAAAUUUAAAUCCAGUCCAACCCAAUAAAAAUCUCUACUGUACUUCUUGUAGAACACAAUGAUCUGAUACCCCGGAGUUCAUCAGGAAAACAAAAGUGUAUACAAAUGGCCAAAGAUUUUUUUCAAAUAGAACAAGGCAAGUUUGACCUAAAAGAUAUCCAAAUUUACUAAAGCUUAUAACUAGCACAAACAUAGUCAAAUAAAUCAACUUUAGAAAAGAAUAGAUAACCAAGGAAAAGGAUCUUGGAUGUGUUAAGUUUUGUUAAGAUCAGGGGGCAUUUCAAAUUAGUGGGGAGAAUAUUCGAAUUACAGAAUUAAUGAAUUCACAUCCUAUAUAAAAUAAAGUUAAACUUAUGUUUUGUGCCACAGACAAAGGUAUAUUCUAAUGGUACCAUAAGAAUGGUUAAAAACAUAAUGGAAAAUAUUCUUUUAAUUUAUUGUAAAGGAAAAGAUUGACACAUUUGACUACGAUCAAUUGUAACAUUCUACAGCAAAGAGCCAAAAGAUAACCUCACAGAAAAAUAUUUGUAGCAGCUGUUAAUAAGGAUUGAUAUUCAAAUAUAUUAUGAGCUUUUACAAAUCAAUAAGCAACAGGAAGAAGGAAAAAGAAUGACCAAAUAAUUUAAGCAGGUGAUCCACCCUCCAUACUUCAAACAACCAAAACAGCAUACAAAGAUGCACAAUUCCAUUAAUAAUCUCAGUUUGUAAUUUGAGAGGUUGAGGACAUUUUUUUCUUUUACCACCAGUUUGUGAAAGCUUUAAGACUGAUACUACUCAGUAAAGGUGACUAUGUAGAAAACCGUCGUUUCAUAACAGCCAUAGAGGUAUAGGUUCUUAAAAUAUUUUUAGAAGGUAACUAGGCAAUUCAUACCAAAUUUUUAAUGUUUACACUGUAAUUUCACCCUUAGCAAUCUAAGCUUUAUAGAAAAGUUUGUGCAGGCACAAAAGAUACAUAUACAUGCUCUUGGAAACACUGCCUAGAAUCAGAAAACAUCCCAAACUCUGUAUUUCUACAUUUAAGCUAAUAAGAGAUCUAUUGAUCAUCCAUUAUAUUGAAUAAUAUGAAGUUGUAAAAAAUUAAACCCUAGUGUAUUGAAAAUAUCAAAUAAAGUGCAAUCACUGACCAACAAGUGUUGAUCCCAUCUAUUGGAAAAGGGGAAAAAGCAGAAUUUAUUUAUAGGGGUGCACAAAUAGAAAAACUGCUAAAAGUGAUCAGGAGAAUGAAGUUAUAUGAUUUCCAUAUUAUACUCUAUAUACAUUUUUAUUGCUUUUAUCUUCUAGAAGGAGAAUAAAUGAAUUUAAUAUGGUAUAACAGUUUUAAUUGGGAAGAAGAGUUUAUCAUUUCAUGGAUUUUUUUGUUGAGAGAGUAACGAUGAAGGCAAGGGUUUUGGAAAUUUCUUCACAAGAGAAAAUGUUGAUGAAACUGGGCAUAUUUUGCCUGAGAGAGAAAGCAUAUUACAUUUGCUCCAGAAAACAGAGAUGUGUCCAGUGGGUAAAAAUCCAAGAGACAGAUUGAAACUUUGUUGCCCUUGGAGAUACUCAGAUAUGAAAUGGGCCCUUGUGGGAGGCAGUGUGAGCCAUCUGUCCCUGGAUGAGUGGAAUGGAGACAAGGCAGCCACUUGUUGGGUUGGUUCUGAGGCAGUGACUGUGUUGGUUGGUAGGUGAGAUGGGGCUGAAAGAAACCACUUAGACCUCAGGUUCUGGCUUUCCUAGUGUCCCAAGUGAAGGUAAACCCAGGAAUCGUUAUUAUGAGACAUCAUCUGUCAUCUUGGAUUAUGUGAAGAACUGAGUCAUCACAGAGCUUUGAGAAAAUUCUUAAAAUUUCACUCUUACACAUACAUAGAAAAAUUCUAAGUUUCGAUCCUUUGCUGUCAAAAUACAGUCCACAGACAAGAAGCAUCAGUUUAUUAGAAAUGCAGAAUCUCAGGUUUUGCUGUAGAUGUAAUAAUUGAGAAUCUGCAUUUUCACAAGGUCUACUAGUGAUUUCUGUGCAUGAAUUUGAGAAGCACUGGUCUGUCCAACUAGCCUAGGCUAACUCCUUAGUUCUGAGUCUGAGUAAGAAGAAACAAGCAACAUGGUGUGUGUGGGGGGGCAAAUAAUUAAAAAAAUAUUUUUAUUGCUUAUUACCAGAAAAAAAAUGGUAACAUGAAGAGAAAAAGUGACUAUAUAUGUAUGUUCAUGUAUGCAUGGAGUAAAUAAAUAUAUGUAUGCAUACAAGCAUUAUAAAAAUGUAUUCAUAGAAUGAACAUGUAUAUAUAUAUCUGUGUAUAUAUAAAAGUAUGUAGAUAUGAGUGUGUAUGUGUCUGUAAAACCUAGUUCUUCCCAGCUAUCAUUUAAGUGGAUGAUUAUUGACCAUUUUGCUUUUUUUUUUUUUUUGAAGAGAUUUUAGCCCAUCUCCCUCUCAAAAAAUGAAGAAUACUUUCAAUUUAAUUAAACACUGAACAGAAAAAGAUAAACAUCUUUGAGACAUUUCUCAUGCAUUUCAUUUUGACAGUUGUUAUUACUUAGGACAUUUUCAUGCCAUAUUCUAUAUUUUUAUGGUUUAUUAAAAUUCUUUCUAUUGUUUCAGUGCAUUAAUGGGUUUUUAAGGUUUAAUCCUUUAAUCUUGAUUUACUUGGCUUUUAGCAUUUUUUUUCACCUCAGAAUGAUUUGGGGUGGGGGUAGCUGCAGGGAGGUUACUUUAGCAGGCAAAUGAGUAACCUCUUCAAGUGACAAAAACUGCUAGGUAAUUGGAAAUAUUCUAAUUACCAGCUGAAACCUUAGCAAAAAUGUAUUGGCUUUUGAUUUAUUUUAUGAAGUCCAUUUCCUGAAUCAUUCAUUUCUCACUUGUGUGCAAAGACAUUUAAUGAAAAAUAAUGAAUUCUGCAGUAGAUGGAGACAUCACAGUUAAACCUUUUGCUGGAUUUUUAGAAAGUAUUGCUUUUCAUAGGCUGUUUCCUUAACAAGUUGUGUUGUUUCUCAGCAGGCUUUUCGGAGUUUAGAGCGUUGUCUACCCAACUGGCCCCAGAUGGAAAAUACGCUCUUGAAAUUGGAUGGCUUUUUAAGUGUAGCUCUCUACAGCCUGCUCGAAGAAAAAAAAUAAGCUUGAACAGAAUGCAUUUAGUAGCAUGGUCCAUAAUCCCCUGAGCAUCCCACAUAUUUGGAUGUUUUCACUUUUGGCAGUGGAAUUUUUCUAAUUUAAUUAACUCAUUAACAGAUGACACAGUGUGAAAAUUCUUUUCCCUAGUCGCUUAUCUAAAUAUUCUUCCAAUUCACUGGGGUUAUGUACACACUUUUUAUUUAUUUAUUUAUAAAAUGUAUUUAUGUAUCUGUUUUAUUUCUAUUCUGAUUUUUCCCCUGAAGUGUUUAUGGGCAAUAUAUAGACAUUUUAUGUAAUGAAUUAGAAGCCUUCCUAAAGUGAUGAAUGGAGAAGAGGCAGAAUAGAGGAUAAAUGGUGGGGAAAAUCUUUACAAAGGAAGACUGGGAGGGAAAGAACAGAUGGCGCAAGAACAGCCAGAGCUGAAAUGCUUCUCCUGGUCCAAGCCCUACCAUUCUGUCUCUUAGUUCUUAGUUCCCACACGGCAAAAAUGCAGAAGUAGUCUGUAUCAGGCCCGAAGCUGGCAACAACAGGAAUGACAGUAAGGAAAGUCUUCCAGGACUAGCCCAGCAGAAACCCAAUCUUCCUCUCAAGUCAUUCACAUUCGUUCAUUCAUUCAUGUUUUUUUUUUAAAUGUAAUUUUUUUUUUAUUUAUAUAUGACAGCAGAAUGCAUUACAAUUCUUAUUACAUAUGUAGAGCACAAUUUUUCAUAUCUCUGGUUGUAUAAAUAGUAUCUUCACACCAAUUGUGUCUUCAUAUAUUUACUAUGUUUUUAUUUUAUCUUUAAUUUUACUCAUCUAUAUAUAAAUUUCUCUCCCUCUUAGAUUUUAAGCUUCCUGAAAUAAAAAAAAAACUGGAAAUAUUGGUCGAUUAUAUUAUGCAUAUUAGUGGGAUUUGUUGUUCCAUAUUCAUAUACACACACAACAUAAUUUAGUCAGUUUAAUUUCGCAGGACCUUCCCCUAGGCUUCCUUAAAAUUUUAGAAAAAAAUCCUUCCUCUCUUCAUUUCCUUCUAUCCCUCCAUUUUCUCCCUUUUUUAUUCCCUCCCCUUCUUUUUCUCCCUUUCUUCCUUUCUGGCACAGGACAUAGGACAAAAUAAAUGUUGAAUAAAUGUUACUGAAUUUUGAAUGAAAGAUGAGUAUAGCUAUUAGUUUUUUUGAAGUAUCUUUUUUUUCUUUUCAGUGACUAUAGCUAUCUGUUUUUUCUUUUUAACUAUUUACUCUAGUAUUUUUAAAUAGGCAUAUUUUUUUUUCUGGGCGUGGUGGCACAUGCCUACAAUCCCAGACUCAGGAGUCUGAGGCAGGAGGAUCACAAGUUCAAAGCCAGCUCAGAAACUCAGCAAGACCCUGUCUCAAAAUAGAAAACCAAAAGGGCUGGGGAUGUAACUCAGUUAUAUCCUGAGUUCAAUCCCUUGUAUCAAUCAAUCAAUAAAUAGGCAUAAUUUUAGUGAUGGUUUUCUUCCAGUCUUUGGCAUUCGAAGUUUAGCAACUCUAAAUAAUGACCUCUCUCUCUUUUUCUUAAUACCUUUAUUGAUUUAUUUAUUUCUAUGUGGUGCUAAGGAUCAAACCGAGGGCCUCACACGUGCUGGGCAAGAGCUCUACCACUGAGCUACAACCCCAGCCCAUGAUGACCUCUCUUUAAGUUUUCUGUGUAUUCUUUUGAAAUCUAGAUUUGAUAUUUCUAUCUUUAGUCAACCUUAGUUUCUGAAUGAAAGGGAGAAACAAUUUAAGUAUGACUAUUAGUGAGCCUGAGAGAUGUGCAGAGGGACAAGGUGUUUAUCCAAAGUUUCUGUAGACACUUCUUUUGGGUCCAGAUUUGCAAAUUACAAAUUGUUGGGCACAGCAACUAAAGAAAGGGAGUGCUACUGCUGAUAACUGUGUGUUCUUCAGCCCUGGAGAAAUGAUAGAGAUCUAGAAAGGGGAUAUCCCUUUACCCUCUCAGCCUGAUGCUCAGUUGUCUACAGCUGGGAGAUAUUAGGGAAUCUUAAGAUAAUAGAUGCCUAACUGCCAUUAUUAGCAAUCUUGAUUUGUUUUGUCUAGGACCGGGACUAUUGAUCCCCCAGGCAACUCUAAUAUGCAACCACUACUCUUUUUUUUUCCCUUUUUAUUUUAUUUUAUUUAUUUAUUUUUUAAUUUUUUUAAAAUUUUUAUUGUUGGUUGUUCAAAACAUUACAUAGUUCUUGAUAUAUCAUAUUUCACACUUUGAUUCAAGUGGGUUAUGAACUCCCAUUUUUACCCCGUAUACAGAUUGCAGAAUCACAUCAGUUACACAUCCAUUGAUUUACAUAUUGCCAUACUAGUGUCUGUUGUAUUCUGCUGCCUUUCCUAUCCUCUACUAUCCCCCCUCCCCCCCCCCCCCCCCCCCCCCUCUCUCUCUUCCCCCCCCCNCUCUGAUUUGAUAUCAAGCUCCUUGAUCCAUUUUGAAUUCACUUUUGUGCAUGGCGAGAGAAAGGGAUUCAGUUUCAUUUUGUUGCAUAUGGAUUUCCAGUUUUCCCAGCACCAUUUGUUGAAGAUGCUAUCCUUCCUCCAUUGCAUGCUUUUAGCCCCUUUAUCAAAUAUAAGAUAGUUGUAGUUUUGUGGAUUGGUUUCUGUGUCCUCUAUUCUGUACCAUUGGUCCACCCGCCUGUUUUGGUACCAGUACCAUGCUGUUUUUGUUACUAUUGCUCUGUAGUAUAGUUUGAAGUCUGGUAUCGCUAUACCGCCUGAUUCACACUUCCUGCUUAGCAUUGUUUUUGCUAUUCUGGGUCUUUUAUUUUUCCAUAUGAAUUUCAUGAUUGCUUUCUCUAUUUCUACAAGAAAUGCCGUUGGGAUUUUGAUUGGCAUUGCAUUAAACCUAUAGAGAACUUUUGGUAAUAUCGCCAUUUUGAUGAUGUUAGUUCUGCCUAUCCAUGAACAGGGUAUAUUUUUCCAUCUUCUAAGAUCUUCUUCUAUUUCUCUCUUUAGGGUUCUGUAGUUUUCAUUGUAUAAGUCUUUCACCUCUUUUGUUAGGUUGAUUCCCAAGUAUUUUAUUUUUCUUGAGGAUAUCGUGAAUGGGGUGGUUGUCCUCAUUUCCAUUUCAGAGGAUUUGUCGCUGAUAUACAGGAAUGCCUUUGAUUUAUGCGUGUUGAUUUUAUAUCCUGCCACUUUGCUGAAUUCAUUUAUUAGCUCUAAUAGUUUCUUUGUAGACCCUUUUGGGUCUGCUAGGUAUAUAAUCAUGUCAACUGCAAAUAGUGAUAAUUUAAGUUCUUCUUUUCCUAUUUUCAUGCCUUUAAUUUCUUUCAUCUCUCUAAUUGCUCUGGCCAGUGUUUCGAGAACUAUGCAACCACUACUCUUAAAUAGCAGUUUCCAAUGCUGGCUGCUCUUGUCAUACUCCAGUGCUUUGUCCCUAGAGAUUCAAAGAUUUGGUAGAAAGCCCAAGGCAAUGGUAUCUUACAGAUGCUCCCCAGGUGAUCCUGAGGUGUAGCUGGAAUAGAGACCCACUGAGUCACUUUUUCCAGGACAGGAAGCUUACUUCCCUUUGGUGUUCCCUUGGCAUGUGCUAUGGUUUGGAUAUGGUGUGUCCCUUAUCCCUACAGGCUAAACCUUUAGAGUCCAGUGGGGGUGGGGAGAGGGGAGAAGAGGGAGAGACUGGUUAAUGGGUUCGAAGACACAGUCACAUAACAGAGAAAGAUUCUGAUGUUCUGUUACACAGAGGGUGAUUAUGGUGAUUAUUAUAGUAUUAUUUAAUUCAAAAAUAGGUAAAAGGGGAAUGUUGAAUGUUCUCUUCACAAAGAAAUAAUUACUAUUUGAAGUGAUGGCUUAAGUAAGUAUCCUUACUUGACCAAUACACAGUGUAUCAGGGUACUGAAACAUCACACCAUGCCAUAUAAAAAUGUAUAAUUAUUAACUCUGUCAAUACAUAAAUGUUACAGAUCCAUCAAUAAACAAAUAUAUUUAAUUGCUAGCAUAGUGGUAUUGAGAUGUGGUGAGGCCUUCAGGCAGUGUUUGGGUAAAGGAGCUCUGCUCUCUUGAAGGGAUGUAUAUAGUUACUGUGAGAGAGGGUUGUUAGAAGACAUUUGCUCCCCUUUUUUCUUCCUCUCUGUGCACAUGCCUCUUGUCUUCUUUUCAUCAUGAGUGAGAGCAACACUAGAUCCUUACCAGAAGCCAGGUAAAUGCAGCUUUCUGAGUUUGGACUUUUAAUCUCCAGAACCAUGAGCUAAUUAACCCUCUUUUAUUUAUGUUGCCUAAUCUAGGGUCUUCUGUUGUAGCAAUAGAAAACAGACUAAGACAGUGUGUUCUAUUCUACAGUUACUCUUUAAGUGCCUACCAUGUGGGCUGUAGUAUGCUGGGCACUAUAGGGAAUAUACCGAUUAAUUUGACACAAUCUCUGUUUUCUGAACAUUUAUGAGGGUAUUAGCUGUCUCGACCCCUUGCCCGCAAGGAAGACGCAACUCAGGAAUCUUCUUUCAGCAGUUUAUUCAGGCCCUUGAUAUUUCUUCUUCUCCCUCUCGGAUGCCCCUCCCAGCCUUAAUAAAGCAUCUCAAGCCCCAAUGCGAAGCUGCCACGUGGAGCUUUCUCAUAGGGUGGUGAAAAACCAUGCGCCAACUCUCCCAAAUAAGGAGUUGUUUGUCACAGACCACAGCGGAGCCAGCGCCAUCUUGUAAUGGCGACCAUAGUCUGCAGAAACGGCAGAAGUGGCUCACCACAAUUAGCAAUUUUAUUGAGCAUUGUUUUUUGGUUAAUGAAGCUGAGUGAAAGACAUCUUGAAUCUAGACCUGGAAGGGCUAUCAAUGAAUUGUCUUGCUGGAACCCUACAAUAACUUAGUGCACAAGGCAUAAGUAAAGUCAAGUCACAGAAGUUAGGGAUUUGCUCAAAUUUAUAGGGAAAGGAGAUCUGGGAACCCAAUGUUCUAAUGGUUGAGUCACAGUCCUUUGGCUCUACCAUUUUGGUCUGUUUCUUCUAGCACCAUUAUUAAUAUAUUAAAGCAGAGGCUGGGAGCGAGGGAAUCAGAGAGGUAAAACUGGGGUGGAGAAAACAACGCUCAGAAAGUAUGUGAGUGUGUAUCUCAGUGAAUGAGUGUCUGUGUCUGUGUGGGUGUAUCUGAGUGUGUAUAUGCAUAUCUCAGUGUGUACAUGCAUGCAUAUAUGAGUGAAUGUGUAGGUACAUGAGUUUUUGAGUGUGAGUGUAUCUGAAUGAAUAAGUGUAUGUAUGUGAGGAUGUAUUUGAGUGUGUAUCUAAGUGUAUGUGACGAGAUGUGAGGAAAUAUGCCUUUGAGACUUAGUUAAAUGUGCCGUUUGGUUAGUGUCUCCUAAAAAUUAUACAGUCUAUUUACAAAGACUAUCAGAAAAUAAAAAUUAGUGACAGUUUUAGAAAUAUUAAAAAUCUGUCUAGACUCAAAGGCUAUCACUAUCUGUGAGGAAUUUUAUUUUUUUCCAAAACAGAGGUUACUAAUAAAGGCCAGUUUAAAUUUCUUCAGAUUUCUAUAGAAAUCUAAGAACUACUUUCAUCAACUAGAGAUGUCUGGGGGGUUGGAAGGGAAGAUCAGUAUCAGUAACCAUUAGUCAAUAAGAGGAGGCUUAAUAUCCUGCUUUUCUUCAACUGCCUGACCAUUUUUCCUUCUCAUAGAGGGAAGGAGGAGCUUCCAUCCCAUCAUCCUGAAUCAGAAGAACAUUUUUUUACAACCAGAGAUGUGAGAAGACAGACACAGAAAAGAUAUGAACACCACUGUGUUAUGAAAAUUUGUAGAUUUAGGCAAGUCCUAAAGAGUAAUUUUUAGGUUUCUGGUGUUUUAAAAACAUUAUAGGAUCUUUUUGAGACUGGGUGUGUCUGUGUGUGUUUGGCUAAAGAAACAAGUAACUUCGCUAUUGCAAGUAUGUGUAGUGUUUCUUCCCUUUGGUGACUUUAUAUUACUACCCUGUUCUUCAUCUCUCACACGUACGGCUGCAAACAUUUGCCCAUUCAGUAUGCAUGCAAACAAUAAAUGCUCAUUGAAUGUGUGCCACAAUGCUCUGCAUUUGGCAUUAUAUCAUUUAAAGGAAUGCAGAAACUUGAUCUUGGACUUCCAGCUUCCAGAACAGUGACAAAAUUAAUUUUCUUCCCAACAGUGCAAGAGAUAAGAGUAUGAGAAUCAGCCUUGUGAUUUUUCCUUUGUUGAUCACUCCCCUCUUCAUAUUACCAUAUCCUGGAUGUCAUUUAUUUCUUUUAGGUAGCCUUGCUUUGAUCCAUUUGAAUAAUUUCUUUGGUCCUUCCCAAGAUUGUCCUAUGGGGUAACUAACAAGAUAGUGUAUACACCUGGGCUGGCAACUGGCCAGGACUCACUACUGUGGCCAUACUGUUUGUUACUAUGGUCAGUCCUGAUCAGAAUACACCUUUAUGAUUUGUCAUGCCCAUGCAAUGUGGUUGCUAAAUAAUGUGAAUACUAUUUCUAUCUAUAUUACAUGAAGUAUGAAGAGAAAUUGAUCACAUCAAGCAGUUAAGCCAGCUUUCUCUAUAGGCAGACUUGGCUAUUUGAGAACUGUCAAAAGAAUCCCCAUUUCCGAAGUGACAGCCCCAUUAGCCUCUGACAGAACUAAAAUCCAGAAGCUAGAGUCUCUCCUAAUGAAUUUGAUUAUAUUUACCAGAAAAGAUCAUCAACAUAUUUAAUAUUUAAACGUCACCUAUAUAUCACUAGAUAGCAAAACUCUUAAAUGGAAUGUCCAUUUAUCAUCACAACAAUCCUACUAUGAAGAAGGUGAAUCAACUGAGGAUUAAAUAUGUUAAAUAAUCUGUUUAAUGUUAUCAUCUAUUUAAGAAUAAAGAGAUUCAAACCCUAAGAUUAACCUUUAUGCUGAGAACAGGAGCCUGUGGCUGUGGUCUACAGUUUAGCACUGUUCUCACACAUUCUCCUCCUAGCUUUCUUCAUUCCUAAGAAAGUGACCCUGUUUCCAGGGCAUGCUCUUUUCCAUCUCCUUUUCCUGGUCCCUCUACCUGGGAUAAAACUUACCCAUCUCUUCCAUGGCUGGCUCCUAUCCUAACUCUCUACCCCAAAAGUUUCCAAGCCCAUGUUCUUGACACUUGCUAUACCACCUGAUGGGGGUCAUGUCUUUCCUAUGGGUACAUCACAGUACUGUGAAAAGGAUCCCCACUUCCCCAAACAACACCCUCACCAGCCUGUGAUGAAGCAUAAAAUUCAGCAGCUGGAGUUUCUUACAAAUAAGCAGUGUUGUCACACAUUCUCUUCCCACCUUUUUCAUGCCUAAGAAACUGAUCUUCUCUUGUUUGUUUGCUUAUUUAUUUUCUGAAUGCUAAUAGUAGGAUGUAAGUUCCAUGACGACAGGACCCUAGUCUUUCUUACACAUGGCUGUGUCACCAAUAUCCAGGGACAGUGCAUUCCAUAUAGUAGGUACUCUCUACAUAUGUGCCAAAUGCCAAAGGGUUUGUGAUCUAUCAAACCCCUUUGCUCUUCAGAAUUAAGACUUGAGAGGGCAUGUUCUUGACAGAAUGGGAAAUAUGGCAGCCCAUUCAUCUGACUGGACUCAUCAUUACAUCCUCAAGAGAAAGAAUUUUUGGAGAUAACAGAGAAUAUAGGCACCAAGGCAAAAAGGGAGGCUGCCCUAUAAAGUAGGGGAGUCUCCAAAACAAAUUUUUGUUGACUAGUAGUUUUGACUAUAGUAAUAGUACAGAACCUCUUUUUCCUGAAAAACAAUGCUUGGGCUUUGUUUGCUUAUUUCCAACUACUAGCUGCUGCCAACAACAAUAUAUUAAGAACUUAAUGUAUUUAAAGAACUAUCCUAGGUGACUAAGAUGAUUAAUAAGACAAAAAAAAAAUCCCUAAGGACUCCUAUGAAAAUUGGGAGAGAAAGGGAAUCAUUACCAAAUGGAUUUGUCCUGGGGGGAGAUGGGACCUGAGCCAGGCCCCGGAGUAUGGAGAGGAUUAGGGGAGACUUAGGUGAGAAUUUUGAUCAAAAGCAUGCUCUCAGGAAUGUUACGAGUGUGUCUGGGGACUGUAAAGGACUAGUUGGCAGGGAGUAGACCUUGAAAAUGAUGUUGAAAUUUUUGAAUUUUCUCCCGAGUUCUGAAAGGACUCCUAGGAGUUUCUGAAUGGGCUGGUAAGGUUGUGAAAUUAGUAUUCCUGAAAGGGAGAGCUGCAAGAUGAGGAUGGAGGAGGGAGCAAGCUAGAAAGGGGGACCAUCAGCUUCCUGCAAGGGACUGUACUUUGUGCAUACACUGUCAUGGGCACACUCAUCAUAUCCCUCUUUCUCUGGGUGUGGCUGUUUGACCUUGUCAGGCUUGGAGCCAUUGAGAGUGGUAGAACAUAUUUCUUUUUGGUUUUAUACAAACUGAUUAAUUCAGUAUUUUGUUAAAUGCUUCUGUGUCAGUAGUACCAUGACUUUAUGAGAAUUAUGAACAAUUUCUGUAUCUCCAAGUGUUUUCUGAAUCAUCAGGACUCUUUUUUAUUUUUUGUUUUAUAUCAGUUCAUGCUCACUGUUUAUAAAUGUCAUCUGUGGGUAAUUGUAAAUGAAAACUAUAAAAUAUUACCAUUCAGUCAUUUCACAGGUAUUAUUUGAUUCCUGUAAUUGUGUUUUAGCAGUUCAGAAAAACACAUUUCAGAGAGGCUAAAUGACUUAUCCAUGGUCACUUAGCUAAAGGCUAAGAAAUUCUCAUUUUAAACCCAUUUCUUUUAUUGCAAAUUUUUUACAUCACAGUGAAAAUUGGAAGCUAGCACUUAAUAUACAGGGCAGAUGUUUAUUAAGCAGAAUACUUCAUCAUUCUAGAGCAAGCAAUCUCAGUGGAGUGCAGAGAUGAACUACAUGUUACAGUGCAGUGGUUGUUUCAUAAAUACUCAUAGACAAUAAUGACAUCAUCCACCAUUCAUUCUGAAUCAAUCUGUCCCAAAAGGAAUGUAUCUUAUAAUGUUCCUCAAAUAUUUUUAAAUGACAUAUUUUUAAAUUAAAUAUUGACAAUAAUGUUCACAUUUCAAUCCUCCUUGGGCCUUGGGCUCAAUAAUUCUUGGUUAUGGAGUGUGGUUUUGUCAGUUUGAUCUCAUGGAAUUUGCAGACAGCAUCUAUGUGCAUAGUAACAGAACAAUUCUGGCUGAUAGAGAGAGAACGGGUGUGGAGCAAGUGUGGCAUGAAACGGACUGUUUGCUUUUUUCCACAGUCUGCUGAUUCGACCUGCAAACCCAUUCCCCAACUCCAUUAGCAAAACCUGUAAAAACACAGGGGCCUCCAAAAAGACAACUCCAACAUUUGUAACCCAGAGAGAUGUUUUGAGUUGAGAGAUCUCAGUUCUAUAUUUAUUUCUUGGGCCUGGGUAUUUUUUUGGCUUCAACACUUGUUUCUGGUUGGAAAGCUGAAAAACAAGGAUCUAAACACUGAGCGCUUGGAUAGUAAAACACAUGUUCCCUUUUCGCAGUGACCCUGGAAACAGACGGGGGAUUCUUAUAAAUCACAAAGGAAAAUAAAUAACCUGACCCAUGGAGGGAAAGAGACAACUUGAAAAAAGGGACUUUGGAA
rnacentral:lncRNA from 1 species